UUCCGUAGGUGAACCUGUGGAGGGAUCAUUACAGAGUUUUCUGCUCUCCAAAACCGUCGCGAACGAACCCCGUUGCCUCGGCGGCGCGCCCCCCGGGGCGCCCGCCGGCGGCCCCAAAACUAUUGUCUUUACAGUGGCACAUCUGAGCGUUUAUCAAACGUCAAAACUUUCAACAACGGAUCUCUUGGUUCUGGCAUCGAUGAAGAACGCAGCGAAAUGCGAUAAGUAAUGUGAAUUGCAGAAUUCAGUGAAUCAUCGAAUCUUUGAACGCACAUUGCGCCCGCCGGCACUCCGGCGGGCAUGCCUGUCCGAGCGUCAUUUCGACCCCCAAGCACCGCUUGGUGUUGGGGCCCCACGGCCGCCGUGGGCCCCGAAAAGCAGUGGCGGACCCGCCGUCGCACCGGGCGCAGUAACAUACCUCGCCCUGGCGCGCGCGGCGGAUGCCGGCCGUUAAACCCCCAUCAACUCCUAAGGUUGACCUCGGAUCAGGUAGGAUACACCCA
rnacentral:rRNA from 1 species